UUUUGCACACCAUGCAACCCUGUGCGUUUUGAAGGUCAAACAGAGCAUUCUCUGCCACAACAAAUGAUAGCUGCAGUGUAGGUGAGAAGCUUUGCUUUAUAGAAAAAAGCCUCUUACUAUAUGCCCAAGUGCUUGCAGAUGUACAAGAAAAAGCAGAAUUUCUGAGCUCUUGAUAGUGAGGUAUAGUCUGAAGCCUGGAUACACAUUUUUCUUCAGGAACUGAACUCUAUGUCUGUGUGUCUUCAAGAGGCGUUACCCACAGAUAUCCAGCAACACAAAGGAUGGGGAGUAAGUACCUUUACUACUUCAGAAGCAGAGUCGAAACAGUGCAGUGUAAGAGAUUCACAAAACAAGGAGACAAGGAUGCCAAAUAAAAGGAGCCUCAAUGCACUCGUGGUUUCUCGUGCAAUGGGAAUGUGUGCCCAGAGAGAGAGAGGAGAUGCCCGCUGACACAGUGCAAGGGAGGAUCCAGGAUUCUGACCCUGCUAAGACCCUCAGUCUGUCAAGUAACUAUUGCAAGUUCCAGCUGCACCAAAGCUCUCUCCAUCUAUGCUGGAGUCCCCUUGCAGACUACAGUGAUCUGCACGGACCAAUUUUUUUCCUCUCUAUCUGGGACCUGGCAAUGGCCCCCUGCAACUUAACUGCUCUCCUCACCAGCCUUUUCUCCAGGCUGUGUGUUGACCUGGCAAAUGCUUCUAGCUGUAAGGAGAUGAAAAGAAGUGCUGAUGUGUUCAAAGUCUCCAUUUAGAAGACUCUCAUGAACACCUCAUAGACAACUGCUCCAUUUACAAAUGGCCACUGCAGCUGAGCAGCAAAAGCCAAACAUGAAGGCACAAUGGACAGCACCUGAGUAGAAUCUAACCACCCACAGUACCCUACAGACAGGUGUCUCCUGAUGGAGAGCAACAGGAUGGCUACAAUUUGGAAAAACAAGAAUUCUCUGUACCAGGCUUCUGUUACUUAACUCCUGCUGAAAAAUAUGGAUGAAAAACUAUUCAAUCAAUAAAAAAAUGUUUUUUAUCACCUAUGAGCAAGAUGUUAAGUGAGCUGUACUCACAAAAGAAAGGUCCCAAAGAAGCUGGAGUCUCAAUGUCAUUAUGAUAACUUAAAAAUCUCAAAACAGCAUUUGAUUCCACAGAUUACAUUUCAGAAGUCCAGAAAUGUUUUUCUCUGCUUGUUAAUGCUCUCAUUUUGGGAAUUGCACACAUCUGUUUAACACAAAGAGAGUUCAUAUGUGUAUAAAGCAAAAAUCACAGCUCUGCUAUAAGAAGGAAACAAAAUAGAUGUAGUAAAAGCGCUAGUAAUUCAAUAGUAAAUAGUAGAUAUGCAGAGAAACAGAUGUCCAGAUGACAUCAGUAAGGGGAAUCACAUAGUUCUCUCAGACUUACCUGAAUACAACCCCUCCUAAUAAGUUUCAAUUGCAAUGAUAAACGUGCCUGGAUUAAACCCAGUAAUUUUUCAUUCCUUGCUAAUGGGGCAAAUGGAAGGAGUAUGCAAUCACUGGAGGUUUUAUUUGUAUAACUUUUCUGGAGGCUGACUAUGACUAUAUUUGAUUGCAUGUGGGUGGCUGUGGGACAGGCAGACAGCUGGGUGAAAAAUGAUGACAAAAGGAAUCUUGUCCCAUUUCCUGCCUGUGCUUCAUUCACUAAUGAGCACUGCUCUGGGUCAUUCUCAAGAUUUCUUCAUCUGUUGUUGUCUCGUCUGCAAAAGGGGCACCCCGGCAGUGGAGCUGUUGUCAGCUUGUCUUGAGAGUUUUUUUUGCUGCCUCUCACCCUUGCAGCUGUGUGGGAUUUUAAGUGCCUGGCUGUAAACAACUCCGUAUUUUGUGCUUCUUUUUGGAUGACUUGAAGGCCGGUCUAAGGCCAGAUGUGUUUGCUGGUGUAAUCUGUUUCUCAUUUCUUCUGAUAAAUGCAUAUCUCAACAAGUAAUAAUAAAGUGAAAUCAGGAUUUAUCUGUUGUCUUCUUCAGUUUGAUUUCUAUUGGAAAGAUAAUAUUAAUAAAACAGCUAAGUCCACAGUCUCUCCUUUCUUCCUGGAGUGCUUGAAAUGUUCACUGAACAUAUCCCUACAAAUAAACAGGCUGGUGAAUAUGAUGCCAUUAAACUCCUGAUGUAGCAACCAGUAUCCCUCUUGCUAGCUUGUGGAAACAAAACCAUUUUGCUUCUUUGAAAAAUAGUUUUCACUAACAUGAUGUCAUCUAUUUUUAUUUCUUUUGUCAGACUUUUUUUUUCUUUUUUUUGCUUCUUUUUUUUCUUUUUGUCAGACCAGUUCACUCGAUUACUUCCUGGUAUCAGGUUUACUGUUUAACAGGAUUCUUUUAUAAAAGGCUUCUACCCAUGCAUAGGCAGGAUCCAGCCUUCUCCUAGAGUGAAUUGUUCUGUUAUCAAGUCUAUUCCCAUUGGUGAAAAAACUCAUUAGAGGAGGCACAUAAGGACUGCACCUCUCUCCUCAUGUCCAGGGUUCAUUUAGUCUCUAUGCAAGGAAAAGGAAGAAAUCACGCCCAAUUUCAUUGUAUCAAAGUGCUGUCCUUUGAUUUGUGUUGUAAAAUGGUAUUUUAUUAGCCUUUCCCCUUCCAAGCAGGUACAAAGGUGAGGCAGUGGGAAGGGGAAGCUUAGCCUACUCCCUUCCACUAAUGACCUGCAAGACACGUACUGCUGCAGUGCAACACAGAACUCUGCUGUCUGUGAAUCUCCUUUCCAGUUAGAUCAUGGCCUUAUCCACUGCCACCCCUCAUAUAAUGGGACCCUUACUCUUAAUUAAAACCACUGCUUAAUCUGUCAAAGAUACUGCUGCAACAAAAAGCAAUUCCAUGAGGCACAGCUUUGAUAGCAGGCUUCCAAUCCUCUUGUAUCUGCUACAUGUUUUUUUACAUCCUCAGCAAGUUGAAAUUAUUGUAGAUAGUUACAAAUGGUCAUAAAAACAGUUUGUAUAAAUAAAGUCACAGGGUUGUCCUUUACCCAAGAAGACUUUCAGAUAAAUGUUCUGGUUCCAUCCCAAAGGAGAUUUUGUCAAGGCCUCUAGCCCUGAGAGGGAAAGGAAACCCUUUUCACAGUGCUAGGCAGUUCUAAUUACAGAUGCAUCAAACCAGCACCUAUUUUUAUUGAAGAUAAUUGUUCCCUGACAGUACUCAGAAGCUCAUCUUUCAUCUUCAACUGCACUGGUGAAUGUGAGUUACUCAUGCAGCCUUGCUAGUUCUGUUCAGCAAAGGGGUCACCAAAAACCUAAGUAAAUUCUAUUCCUUCCACGCCUCUUCAGAUUUAUUUUAACACCCAAGUACAAAAACUGUAACUUUAUACAUAAGCCACCAUGACUGGCCUAACUGAAGACAACUGUUUAAACUGGCAAAGACACAAUUUAUUCUAUUAAAACCACUCAUGAUGAUAUGUGAGAAGGAAAGAAGUCCUUUUAGCUUUUAAGAAACAAAUAAUUUCUAGGAUCAGUAAUUAUGAAAACAAAACAAACACAAAACAUUUGUAUUUGUAAGCUGAGUAUACUUGCUGUGGCUUGACUAAAAUGUGCUAAAUCUAAUACUGGAAUUUUUUUCUUCAAAGAAUCACCACAAUUCAAGAUGCUAGUAAUGUAAGAAAACUAAGUACAGGCA